rnacentral:rRNA from 1 species
GACGAACGCUGGCGGCGUGCUUAACACAUGCAAGUCGAACGGUGAAGCGCCUUCCUUUUUGGUGGGUGUGGAUGAGUGGCCAACGGGUGAGUAACACGUGAGUAACCUUCCCCCUCCUUCUGGAUAACCGCAUGAAAGUGUGGCUAAUACGGGAUAUUCUGAGUCUGUCGCAUCAUGGGUCUGGGAAGGAUUUUGUUUCGGUUGGGGAUGGGCUCGCGGCCUAUCAGCUUGUUGGUGGGGUGAUGGCCUACCAAGGCGGUGAGGGGUAGCCGUCCUGAGAGGGUGGGCCACACUAGUGCGAAUGAGAGGCGGCCAAGCCUACGGCGGGCGGCAGCAGGGAGUAAUACUGCACGAGCGGAGGAAGGAUGAUGCAGCGCCGCCGCGUGAGUGAUGGAGGCCGUCGGGUUGAGAACCUCUAUCGGGAGAGAAGAAAGGCUGCAGCGUCUGUGGGUGUGUUGACGGUAGCUGGAUAAAAAGCGACGGCUAACUACGUG